rnacentral:rRNA from 1 species
GACGAACGCUGGCGGCGUGCCUAAUACAUGCAAGUAGAACGCUGAAGAGAGGAGCUUGCUCUUCUUGGAUGAGUUGCGAACGGGUGAGUAACGCGUAGGUAACCUGCCUUGUAGCGGGGGAUAACUAUUGGAAACGAUAGCUAAUACCGCAUAACAAUGGAUGACACAUGUCAUUUAUUUGAAAGGGGCAAUUGCUCCACUACAAGAUGGACCUGCGUUGUAUUAGCUAGUAGGUGAGGUAAUGGCUCACCUAGGCGACGAUACAUAGCCGACCUGAGAGGGUGAUUGGCCACACUGGGACUGAGACACGGCCCAGACUCCUACGGGAGGCAGCAGUAGGGAAUCUUCGGCAUUGGGGGCAACCCUGACCGAGCAACGCCGCGUGAGUGAAGAAGGUUUUCGGAUCGUAAAGCUCUGUUGUAAGUCAAGAACGGGUGUGAGAGUGGAAAGUUCACACUGUGACGGUAGCUUACCAGAAAGGGACGGCUAACUACGUG